CAGAGGGACUUGCUGAGAGUCACCUGCAACAUCCCAGUUCGGCAAGGUGUGCAGUAAACCUUGCUCUGUCCCUUUGGUUUACAAGCUGCUGCCCCUUUGUAUUGAAAUGAAGCAUUCAGGAAGACUCAGUGAAAUUACCUUUGAAAAUUUCCAGCUAGGUACACUGUUCUGAGAUGAAUUUAUAUGCCUCUUCAGAAGACCUGGUGGGAUUGUGCACCAACUGUCUGCAGUGAGGGUCAACUCAAUAAUGUGUCCUUACAAUCCCUUUUUCUCCAUCUCUAACUCGCUUCAUUGACCCCUCACUCUGGCUCUCUGAACAAAUUCCUAAAAACCUA